rnacentral:rRNA from 1 species
GUUAAAGGCCCGCCAAGCGGAAGACGGGUAGGGGCGGUGAGAGCCGCGAGCCCCGAGAUCGGCACUGAGACAAGGGCCGAGGCCUUACGGGGUGCAGCAGGCGCGAAUACUGCGCAUUGUGGGCAACCGCGACGGGGCUACCCCGAGUGCCUGGCGAAGAGCCCGGCUUUUGCCCGGUCUAAAAAGCCGGGAGAAUAAGCGGGGGGCAAGUCUGGUGUCAGCCGCCGCGGUAAUACCAGCUCCACGAGUGGUCGGGGUGUUUAUUGGGCUUAAAGCGCCCGUAGCCGGCCCGGCAAGUCGCUCCUGAAAUCCCCUGGCUCAACCCGGGGGCGGGGGGCGAUACUACCGGGCUAGGGGGCGGGAGAGGCCGCCGGUACUCCGUGGGUAGGGGCGAAAUCCGUUAAUCCCUGGAGGACCACCAGUGGCGAAAGCGGGCGGCCAGAACGCGCCCGUCGUUGAGGGGCGAAAGCCGGGGGAGCAAAGGGGAUUAGAUACCCCUGUAGUCCCGGCCGUAAAUCGAUGCGGGCUAGCUGUCGUCCGGGCUUAGGGCCCGUCCGCUGGCGAAGGGAAACCGUUAAGCCCGCCGCCUGGGGAGUACGGCCGCAAGGCUGAAACUUAAAGGAAUUGUCGGGGGGG